rfam:Pseudomonas fluorescens F113, complete genome.
AGCAUUAUUACCGCCAUUCCUUAUUUGGCGGGUUAGCUGACGGCUGCACCCAACCCGCCCUGGAGGCGGGUUUU